CAACCCUCAAGCCCUGCUUGGUGUUGGGGCCCUACGGUCGACGUAGGCCCUUAAAGGUAGUGGCGGACCCUCCCGGAGCCUCCUUUGCGUAGUAACUUAACGUCUCGCACUGGGAUCCGGAGGGACUCUUGCCGUAAAACCCCCAAAACUUUUACA
rnacentral:misc_RNA from 1 species